UACAGAGGUCUCAAGCGUUGUUCGGAUUCAUUGGGCGUAAAGGGCGCGUAGGCGGCUUGGCAAGUGGAAGGUGAAAUCCCUCGGCUCAACUGAGGAACUGCCCUCCAAACUGCUUUGCUUGAGGCCGGGAGAGGUAAGUGGAAUUCCCAGUGUAGCGGUGAAAUGCGUAGAUAUUGGGAGGAACACCAGUGGCGAAGGCGGCUUACUGGACCGGUUCUGACGCUGAGGCGCGAAAGCGUGGGGAGCAAACGGG
rnacentral:rRNA from 1 species